rnacentral:lncRNA from 1 species
GACGACGUACCACAGAACUAACAGCAGUAGUGCAGAGGACUGAAGAGCCAGCACCCGAGGGCAAGCCUCCACACUGCCUCUAACCUAAGCCCGCCUUCCCCGUUAGAAUUUAUAAUUUUGUUAAAGAUGUAAUUUACUAAAAUUUGAAAUGGUGUUCUAACAACGACGCCACCGUCGCCACAAUCACCCUGAUUCACAGUAAUACUGAUAGACAUAUUUUCCUACACCAGAGCAGAAAAGAAUGCAUGUUUCUAGCACAUGUAAUAUAAAAACCCCAGAGAAUAAGUUUACACUUAACAAGAUGUUGUUUUCUAUUUUUGAAUUUCUUAUAAUUUCCCGCCCUGAGAGUGAGGCCGCAGGGGGCAUAAUAUUUGUAUAAACAACUGCCACCCCAGAGCGACAUUUAUUUUCCAAGGUGACGCCAAGCUCAUGCUGUUGGCUUCGUGUGGUGUUGUGUGCGCUCCGCCUGGACUGAAGGCCUGAGGAGUUGAGGAAGAUCAGGGUUUUUUUUCCUAUUUGCUGCCAUGGCCAAGCCCUCCAGAAUGUCAGGCACCUCACGACAUCGGACAAGGACACUCUAAAAAAACCCCACAGACAU